rnacentral:rRNA from 1 species
UACAGAGGUCUCAAGCGUUGUUCGGAAUUAUUGGGCGUAAAGGGCGCGUAGGCGGUGCGGUAAGUCACCUGUGAAAUCUCCUGGCUCAACUGGGAGCUUGCAGGCGAAACUGCCGUGCUGGAGUGUGGGAGAGGUGCGUGGAAUUCCUGGUGUAGCGGUGAAAUGCGUAGAGAUCGGGAGGAACAUCAGUGGCGAAGGCGGCCAUCUGGGACAACACUGACGCUGAGGCACGAAAGCGUGGGGGAGCAAACAGG